rfam:Eubacterium sp. CAG:156 genomic scaffold, scf156
UAUAGAAGGAAACGAAAUGAAUGAAGUUCAUUUUCAAUAAAUGUUUCCGACGACUAGCCGCUGACCCAAGGGAGGGGGCAAUACAUACU